rnacentral:lncRNA from 1 species
GGGAGGGCUAGGGGAGCACUUCAGGCCUCUACGUCGGUGCAAAUCCACGCCGUGGAAGAUGUUUCUGCAUUCCCAUACAGAGUACAUUGUUUGGGUUCUAAAGGAUCCAGAUCGUCGCGGACCGAGAAGCUUGACUGCCUCUGCUCCCGAAUGGGCCGCGCACAUCUGUCUGAAGCCCCAGUCCUCUGAGCGGCAGAGAAGGAAAUGCUGGGUGGAGGGUUCCCACUCACGCAUGCCCUUCCGCGCCUCUCGCCCACUGGGCCUGGGCUUGGAUUUUGCAACCAUUUCCAUCACCGCUGCUGUACUUGGCGCAGCCCUGCUGGAAACCGGCAGGGAGCCCGCGGAAGAAAACCGCAACGCCAACCAGGCCUUCACGUCGAAGCGCCGCAGCAAAUGGCCUCACCUGGUUUGGCUGCGUCUUGCCGAGGAACAAGGAGGAGAUGGAAGGCCCUCUUUCUUUCAUCGACUGACCUGGGCGCACACUCUGGAAACCAAAGGGUCCCAAGGACAAUUACUGUCAGACAUUCCCCCACUCAAACCCAGGAAACUUAAUUUACACUACUUCAGGAGAAAUUCCUGUAUCAUCUACAAAGGAUGUGUUGUCUUUCCAUGCGCAUAACAAACCAGUUGAAGCAAAACAAAGGAUCUCAAACUUACGUAUCUUCAGUCUUGAAAGGUCCCUCUGUGUUAAUGGAUGUAAUUAAAGGCCUUCUAGGUUUGCUGAUAGAUACUAGAACCGAUCAUCUCACAUGUCCGCCAUCGGAGAGUCCCAAGCUCCAGUCUCCACGUGAAUUUCCGGACUCUUCCAUAGCCCUUCCGGUAGAAUCCAGGUGGCCCCAUAGUUCUGCCUUUAGCAGGAGAGCUAUUUCCUAGGAGUAACUGGGUGGGCUGCAAUCCGCCUGCCUCUUCACGUUGAGAAACGCUUCUCUUGUGGGAACGUCUGUUUCUAUUCAUCCGAUUUUCUAAUGUCUUUGAUCAGCCUAAAUAUUUUCUUGGCAAACGGAAAUUGACCAUGCCAUGAAUAUGAUAACAACCUGCUUGGAAAGAAGCUAUUUUGUUUCGAAGCAGCAAGGGGGAGUGGGGGGCCGGGAAGCCAGGGAAGGGAGUAGGGGUCGGGUAACUAGCUGGCUGGUAAGAAUGCCUGAAAUAGAUUCCUGAACAUACAUCUUUUUGCAGUCUCUGAAGCAGCUUUUUGAAAGAUAGUCAGAUAAACACACACCUGGGCUCCUAAAAGUCUUUGAUACACUUUAUAUUUAAAAAAACAGAACUUCAAUGGACGCCUCUGGAGAAUUUCCCUUUAAAACAUAGAUGAAAGGCAAGGUUAAUACAAUGUUCUCUUAAUCCCUUUGGCUUGUGAGUCAAAAUAAAUAUGUUCUUCUGCAUGUGAUUGUACA